AUGGCUCGCCGACUCUGCCGUCUCCCUCGCCUCCUCCUCCCCCUCGCCGCCGCCCCCAAGCACCAGCCCCGCCUCCCCGCCAUCCCCGCCCUAAACCCUAGCCCCGCCGCCCGCCUCCGUCCCUCCUCCUCCCCGACGCCGACGCCCUCGCUCCCCGCCUUCCCCCGCCUCUUCUCCUCGUCGUCCGCAGGUACGCCCGAAACGCCUCCUCCUCCCCGCCGACCCCCCGCUUCCCCGCGGCCCUGGACCGGCGCUGACAGUUUCCCGGCUCCGGCAGGCGAUUCCAGCAUGGUGGUCGUAGGCUCCGCGGAUUCCUACGAGGACAUCCACGCCAAGGUGCAAGCUGAGAAGCUCCCCGCCGUCUUCUACUACACGGCGGUCUGGUGCGGGCCGUGCCGGGCGAUGGCACCUGUGAUUGAGAAGAUGAGCAGGCAGUACCCCAAGAUACCUGUCUACAAAGUCGACAUCGACAUGGAGGGACUUGGGACCAGACUUAGUAACCUGAAAAUAUUCUCUAUCCCAACUUUCCACUUCUACCACAAAGGCGAGAAGAGCAGCGAAGUGGUUGGUGCUGACGUGAAGAAGCUUGAAGCUGCCAUGGAAAGUCUUCACAAGCAACAGUGA
rnacentral:rRNA from 1 species